CAAACGCUUUGUUGCAGAGCUGAGUCGCAUAUCAGAUAGGGAAUACAACUCACUUUUCAGCGUUGAACAAAUGAGAAGGAUAGCGAAGGAUCUACGACUGCAGAUUCGUAGUUUUGAUGACUUUGUUUACUCUCUGAACAACCAAGGUUUUCUUUUAAAGAAAGGACCAAGAGUCUAUCAGCUGCAGACUUCGAACUGCCUGUAAUUGAGGAGUAAGCUGCGGGGAAUGUUUGAUGGAGAUUAUGUCCUUGAAAACGACAAAGCCGAGUGAAAAUACUACACCUGUAUCUUCGAGUCUAUUCGGGUGAAAGCUUUCUACAUUUAAAUCAAAAUUUGGUUCCUUGGGUCCUCAAGUUAGGUCUCAUACUUGCAAAAGAACUGAACCAUUUUUCCGAAAAUCUGAUGUUCAACUUGUUAUGAUCCUUGUAACCAUAAGCAUGAGUGGAACCCCUUUCUCCUUUAUGAUUCUUUUGGUAAACUCUGCCGGAGCAACCUGAAUAUAUCGGUAAACCUUGGGCUUGAGAAUCAUAUCCUCGAGCUUUAGCCAUUUGUUGAAUGCUGUGAAGUUCAUGUUAAAAACGCUCGAUUGCACUCUUCGUUUCUUUUUUCCUUCUUCUUCCAUGGAUGAAUAUUUAUUCUCGCUAA